UUCUUUUGGCAGCCGUAUCCGUAGUGACCGGAAGUGCAAUCUGAGGGAAAUAAUCAGUGGAUCGAUUGUUUCGAUGAUAAUGGUAUUCACACCUGUCGGCUGGAAUACAUCACCGGAAUUUUUACUGGGAGUCACUACGAGACUGCGACCAUCUUCAGAGAGCGCUUGACAAGUUAUCACCGGCCAUUUAUAUUUUCUCAUUGAUGUCCACUCCUGAACCGCAAACAGUCUGUAACCGGGAGAUUCAGUGGACACUCACCCGAGACUGGGAUCUACCCAGAUUAUGACAUCUCCAUGUUUUCUGAGGGACACCCUGAUCAUUGAUGUCGUAUUCACAUCUUCUCCCGA